rnacentral:rRNA from 1 species
CAGCCGCCGCGGUAAAACGGAGGGUGCAAGCGUUAAUCGGAAUUACUGGGCGUAAAGCGCACGCAGGCGGUCUGACAAGUCAGAUGUGAAAUCCCCGGGCUUAACCUGGGAACUGCAUUUGAAACUGUCAGGCUGGAGUCUUGUAGAGGGGGGUGGAAUUCCAGGUGUAGCGGUGAAAUGCGUAGAGAUCUGGAGGAAUACCGGUGGCGAAGGCGGCCCCCUGGACAAAGACUGACGCUCAGGUGCGAAAGCGUGGGGAGCAAACAGGAUUAGAAACCCCAGUAGUCCCUGUCUCUUAUAC